GAUGAACGCUGGCGGCGUGCCUAAUACAUGCAAGUCGAACGCGCUGUGGCAAUUAUUGAGAAGCUUGCUUCAAUUUAAUUGAAAUGCAGCGAGUGGCGAACGGGUGAGUAACACGUGGGAAACCUACCUCUUAGCAGGGGAUAACAUUUGGAAACAGAUGCUAAUACCGUAUAACAACUUUUAUCGCAUGAUAAAAGUUUAAAAGAUGGUUCUGCUAUCACUAAGAGAUGGUCCCGCGGUGUAUUAGCUAGAUGGUGAGGUAAUGGCUCACCAUGGCGAUGAUACAUAGCCGAGUUGAGAGACUGAUCGGCCACAUUGGAACUGAGACACGGUCCAAACUCCUACGGGAGGCAGCAGUAGGGAAUCUUCCACAAUGGACGAAAGUCUGAUGGAGCAACGCCGCGUGUGUGAUGAAGGGUUUCGGCUCGUAAAACACUGUUAUAAGAGAAGAACGUCAGUGAGAGUAACUGUUCAUUGAGUGACGGUAUCUUAUCAGAAAGGGACGGCUAAAUAC
rnacentral:rRNA from 1 species